GGGAAGGAAGGAGGAGGCCAGUGGCCAGACAAAGGGGGGAGGGCACUGCUGGAAGAUCCCCAUGAGACAGGCCUGUGGGGCUGAGGGAUGCUGCGUGGAGAUGGUGGCCAGCACGGAGAGCCUGGGUUUCAUCCCUUUCAAGGUGGGCACUCCUUGCCCUGAGCUCCGUGGAGGAGGGAUCUGAAGAAAGCUGGCAGUGUGGACGUACCAACAGUACAGAUUCAAAUAACAUUCCAACAAAAGCCUGCAUUCUCUACGCAAAGGACCAGGACAGAGGCAGCCUACCAUCAUGAAGAGAGCCUGGACUCCCACCCCUGCCAGUAGGAAUGAGGACACCCUUCUUGGGUGUCAGUGGAGGCUGAGUGGGAACCUGGACAUCUACAUCCACCUGACAAUAAUGAGGCAGUGCACCCCUUCUCUUCCCAUAGAGGGAUCUGAGAAAGCCAACCAAGACUAAAGGCUUAAAUAAGAUCAAAAGUCUCAUAACAUAACAUUGAAAAUGACUGCUUUCAAUCGACCAGCACUUAUUAUAUGAAUAACCAGGAAGAUCACAAAUGGAAUGUGAAAAGAAGAUUAAGAGAUGCCAACAUUGAGAUAGCAACACCUGAGGAAUUCUUGUACUUCCUCAUCUGGCUGUUCAAUGUGGAUCUUUUAUAAUAAACUAUAAUAGUACAUAUAGCAUUUUCUUGUAUCCUAUGAGCCAUUCUAGUAAAUUAUCAAGGCCACUGGGGGUUGUGAGAAUUCCCAGGUUUAUAGCUGGCUAGGGAGGAGUGUGAGUAGCCUGGGUACCCCAUUUGUAGCCGGCAUCUAAAGUGGGGCAGUCUUGAGAGACUGAGUCUUUAACUUGUGGGAUCUGAUGCUAACUCCAGGGAGGAUAGUGUCAAAACUGGAGAAGUGACAGGUGCUGGAAAAGACACCAUAUCUUUGGUGCACCAAUUACAUGAAAAAGCUUCCCUAAGCUUCUAUUCCAAGAAACUGAUUCCUCCACAUCUCCAUAAACAAGUUGCAUCUUCAAGGACCCCACUAAAAUAAUUCACUGGGGAUACACUAUCAGUACAGAGUUCUUAAAACAAGCCUGUGAAGUAGGCAAAACUGCUGGUCAGGGUCCUUCUAUAAGCAGAUAGGAGAAAGAAAACCCAGGCAUGGCUUUCUUGACAUCAGAGAAGUUUGACCUAAGCCAUUUUGUGAUCUGAGCCUGGCCACAAUGCUUGCCCUUGAAGAGGUCUCAGUAAUAACGAUCUUAAGGGAACAAAAGAACAAACUGUUAUCAGGCAAGAGAAGAACCAGUAACAAUAGCAAAGAUAACAAAUCAGUUGUAAAGACUCCCAGUUUUGUUUCCAUGGUAAAGAUGGGUCUGAAGGACUUUCUUGAGCUGCUCCACAGAAUUUAAAUCCCCUUCAGUUACUCAACCAUCAGAACAACCGGAACCUAAGGGAAGAGGAUGUUGCCCUAUUCGAAGUCCAGUGAGAAUCAGCUAAAGCUUGGAUUCUCUCCGCUAUCGAAGCCUCUUCAUGAAUAUGCAUGUGCCCUUAGCUCAAAACUUUCCUAACUUUGCUGUUAACAGAGACACUGCUUUGGGUAAGAUCCCUGGUGUUCUUUUUAUUUGUUGCAAGAAAGAAAUCCUUCCUUCUCCUGAUC